GAUGAACGCUGGCGGCGUGCUUAACACAUGCAAGUCGAACGGAAAGGCCCAAGCUUGCUUGGGUACUCGAGUGGCGAACGGGUGAGUAACACGUGGGUGAUCUGCCCUGCACUUCGGGAUAAGCCUGGGAAACUGGGUCUAAUACUGGAUAGGACCACUUCUUGGAUGUUGUGGUGGAAAGUUUUUUCGGUGUGGGAUGAGCUCGCGGCCUAUCAGCUUGUUGGUGGGGUAAUGGCCUACCAAGGCGUCGACGGGUAGCCGGCCUGAGAGGGUGUACGGCCACAUUGGGACUGAGAUACGGCCCAGACUCCUACGGGAGGCAGCGGUGGGGAAUAUUGCACAAUGGGCGCAAGCCUGAUGCAGCGACGCCGCGUGGGGGAUGACGGCCUUCGGGUUGUAAACUCCCUUCGCUAGGGACGAAGCGUUUUGUGACGGUACCUGGAGAAGAAGCACCGGCUAACUACGUG
rnacentral:rRNA from 1 species